UACAGAGGCCUCGAGCGUUAGGCGGAAUCACUGGGCUUAAAGCGUGUGUAGGCGGACUUCUAAGUACCUUGUGAAAUCCCGCGGCUCACCCGUGGAACUGCUCGGUAUACUGGUCGUCUUGAGCCUUCUAGGGGCGAGUGGAACAAAUGGUGGAGCGGUGAAAUGCGUAGAUAUCAUUUGGAACGCCAAUGGUGAAAACAACUCGCUGGGGAAGUGCUGACGCUGAGACACGAAAGCCAGGGGAGCGAACGGG
rnacentral:rRNA from 1 species